CCUUGGCCUCCCAAAGUGCUGGUAUUACAGGCGUGAGCCACCACGCCUGGCCGGAGCAGGGAUUUUUAACCCAAGGAGUCUAACUUUAGGAAUCUGGCUCUUAAUCCCUAUGUUAUAGCAGAAGACUCUCUACAAUUAGUUCCAUAACUUCCUGAUACUAAGACUACAAAAAUGAAAUGUUCCUUUUCAUAGGGAUAACAUCGAUGAUGAUACUUCCAUCAAAAUUUUCUGCAACCAUUUUUCUUGCAGUUGACACUUAUCUUCACCUUUCUUUUUCUGGUGGAAGGAAACAGGGAAAGUGGGAUGCUAUGGUUUGAAUGUGUCUCCUCCAAAAUUCAGGUGUUCUCAAUGUGAUAGUAUUAAGAGGUGGGCUUUUAGGAAGUGAUUAGGUUAUCUACAUUCCACUGUCAUGAAUGGAAUUAAGACCCUCAUAAAAGACGCUUCACACAACAUUUGGCCCUUUUGCCCUCCUCCCUUCUGCCAUGUGAGAACACAGUGUUAUCCACUGUGGAGGACACAGCAACAAGACACCAUCAUGGGAGCAGAGAGCAGCUCUCAUGGGACACCAAAUUCCAGCACCUCGAUCUUCGACUUUUCAGCCUCCCAGAACUGUGAGAAUAUAUUACCAGUUACAGGUAUUUUCUUAUAGUGGCACAAACUAAGGCAGGAAGUAAUAUAACAGAAAAUGGUAAAAUAAUAUAGACAUGAAUGAUGAAGUUUAGAUAAAGAUACAAACAUUUAAUAAUCUUAUGGCUUUCUUCUACUAAAAACAAAACACUAAAAAAAAUUUCCAGUUUAGAUUAAUUAUGGAAGGAAAUAAAAAAUGCACUGAAAAUAUUUAUGAUUACUACUGUUACAGGAUCUCUUUGGGGUGUGGAUUUUCUGGCCAGAAGCCUCUGUGGCUGUGGCACCUUGGCCUGCAUCCAGGAAGAAUGAGGAUUUGAGUUUUGACCCAAUGAAAGUGAAUCCAAGAUGAAGUCUGUCUUUCUAAGCAAAUGCCAGGAAAGAUAAUCAAUGGAAGUUCAAAGAUGAAAAUACAGGCUGUUGUCAGAGGAUCUGCUGUUUCAGAGAAUAAAGAGUUAAGGAAGGGACAAAAAAAAUCACAUUCCAUUCUGUAGUGGACUAGAGGAAAAGUGUCCAGCUGGGAGAAGAAUGGCUGCAGAGAAGGAAGCAGAAAGAUGAGCUGAGAGAGUAAGUGGGGUGUUAGAAGUCAACAUGGGAUAACAAAACCAUCUGGGGUUUGGAUCACUACAGGAGGCUCUACAUUGCAUUGUGCAUGAACAACAACAAGAGUAAAUUUUGCUGACUCUGAGCUUGAGGUAAGCUCCUUAAAGUCUCUGUGGAGAAAGAGAGGCCCCAGAGUGUGGGCUGGAGAUUAACUGAUCCCAGAUGCAAAGAAAAUUACAAAAGCAUAGGACAUUGUGCAUUUCUUUGAUAAGCCGAAUGUUUGGCAUUUAAAUUGUAUCAUCUGAGGUGUUGCAGAAGAUAUGAUUCCUUUAUCAAAUCAAAUACAAGUAAAUGGAUAUCCCUAAAAUUGUAACUUAAAGUAAUGCGCUAAGACACAAGUAUCCAGAGUUCACUUGAGCCUAGAAACCUAAGAUAAUGUUCUUUUGGAAAAUGUAAAUAACAGCUAAUUGGGGAGAUAAAGAAAGGAAUUGUAAGAGUCAAGUCAUAUUUUUAAAUCUGUGAAUAGGCUAAUGUGUAAUUUUUUUAGAACUGCUUUAUUCCCUAUGUCGAGAUAAGAGUGUUAAUGCAGAUUCACGUGAGAGAUUUCCAAGAUUUAGUUACUUUUACUUUAUUAAGAAGUAUUAAGAUGUUCCAUGAUUCUUGCUGAUUUUGUGCCUUGUUUCCUUAUCCUUUUAUUUCGUCUUCUCAUCUUUUACUUUUUUGUAUUUUUUCACCUCUUAGUGUAAGAAAGUAGACAGGAUAUGGAAUAAUUUGGCAAAUUAGUUGACAGAGCAGGAGGUGCGUGGAAAAACCAAACCAAACCUAGUCUGGUUAUUUCCUCUUCACUUUAUCUUUUAUAUUAAGUUGAACUUUAUGAAACUACUGAUGCUUUAAUGGUUUUGACCUAUUAAAAAAAACAAAUUCAUUUGGUUCAACCUACUCAAAAAUGCACCAUGUCAUUCCUCUUCCCAAGACAAUUUCAGUUACUUCCUGUGGCUACCAAUUAAAAUCCAGACUCCUUAGCCUAGCUGUUCAAGAGGACUCAUCAACAGGGCACAGUACUUUUCUACCACAAUUCUCUAAUCCAGUUAAGUUGGCCCCACUUGAAAUCCACUUCCUUUAGAAGGCUUCACAGCUUAAUGCAGUAACUGAUUCUUUCCUUCCCCACGCUCCUAGCAUUGUGUAUACACGUAUGCUGUAGUAUACAAUGCACAAUUAAUCAUGUGCUUAUCUUUUGGUCUUGCAGUACUCUGGAACAUGCUAUCUCAAAUGCUUCUACUUUAAUCACAAAUUAAAAUACAAACUGCUUAUGGACAGAGCCAUAUCUAUAAGCAUUUAAAAAAAAUCUCUCUCCAUCUAUUCUAAUAUCUUACAGCACAAUUGGAAUUUAAUUAUUUUUGGCUUUUUUGUCAAUUUAUUUUUGUUGCAGUUGAUUAAUCAAGAUUUAGAGAACCCUGCCCAAAUUGAUAUAUUCUGGGGAAUUUGAAAAAUAUAAAGCUAUUAUGUGGGCAGCUUCUUUUGCUAAUUUAUGCCUUUUUUAUAUACUUUAAGAAAAGAUUAUUUAAAGUCCCUAUACUUUGUUAGAAUCCAGAUUCCAAACUUCAAAUUUAGUUGUUUUUGUUCAAUGAUCUUAAGUUCAAGGGAAUUGUGGUCAAGUGUGAGAAGUGCAUUUGUACUUGUGAGAGCAUCUCAGCCUACCAUGGAAAGAAUCCUUUCACAUAAAUUAUGCAAACUGUCUAAAAGAAGAAAAUUAAACCACACCUCAUACAAACACUGAGCUCAAGGAAAAGAGGCUCUGUGGGGGAAAGGUAAUUUUAGGCAACCCACUGAAUAACUUUUCUGUGUGUGACAGUGGGACGGAUGCACAGGGUACAGGGGCUGCCAUGUGGUAGGUAGGGACUGCUGCAGAGCUGGCAGAGGCCCCAGGGUGUGACUGGCAGGGGCUGUCUUGCAGCAGCUGGGAGCAACAGCAGGUGGCCAUGGUGAGCGUAUGGCUGGCAGGAAGAUGGCCAUACAGCUGGCAGGGGAAACUGUGAAGCAGUAACCUGGCUGGGGCUGCUGUCAGCAAUCCCAACCAGGUACCGACCCUGCUUAGAGCUCUGUGAGAAACAAGGGUUGAUAUCACCUGAUUCUAAAAAUAGUCAGCAAGGCCACAUGAAUUGGCAAAACAGAAUAUUUCAUGUAUGUGUUGAAUGACCUUCUUUGCCAUGAGUACCUAUUACUGGUUAUUUUCAUGGCAUCUUGAUUUUUUCCUUUGAAAAAAAAUACCAGGAAACUACAACCAUUAGCAGCCUAAGGACAAUUUUCACCGAUAGAGACCCUUGAAUCUAUCCCUGUAAAUGCCUAAUUAAAUGUUACGUAUCAACCAGUAAUAAGCCAGGGAAGCAUCUGGCUCUUUUAACAAAGGUUUAGGAUGGCAAUGCUCAAAGGUAACUUUCAUUUUUAUAGAAACAAGGUUGUAAUCUAAUAAUAAAGAAAGGUCACCUUUGCUGGAAAUUCACAUUUGUGCUUUGCAAUUGUUUUAAUCCAAAGUAUAUCCAAAUGAAAGAACAUUAGGGCAGCCAAGGUUAGCAUUGGGCUGCUCUGGUACACACAAACACACACACACAUCCCUUCUGAAUGUACCCAGUGAUUUGCAAAAUGUUAUGUGAAGAACAGUACAAUCUAAUAGCCGAACAAAGAGCUGAGCAAAAAGCACAGUUAGAGAAUGCUUUGCCUUUAUUGUGCUUGAUACCAUCCACAAAAAUUUCCUUUUAAAACAUUCAUUUUUAGCAAUAGGGUGUGGAUUAGGAACCCUCGUGUUGGUGGUGAAGGGAACCAUAGCACAAUCCAGAGUUUAAGAACAUGAAACUAUUACUCUGAAGAAUAACAGCAGCACUAUUUUUAAAAGAAUUAUUUUUCUCUUUAUGUCUUCAUUUUUCACCAUUUUCUCUAGUUUUUUUUUUUAAUGUAUUUGAUGUCACCUUAACACUAUCACUAAAAUUUUAAGCGAGCUCUUCAUGAUAAUAACACUCAGCCCCAUUUCAAACAGCAAGUAACUCCUAAUAUAGUUUUUUUGUGAGAAGCAAAGUUUUGGGUGUGUGAAUAUGAUGAGCAGGGAUUUGGGUACAUUUUGCAAAAGAGGGCAUCUUUCUCAUUUCUGGCUCUGCUGGCAAUUGAAGUCACUUUACCUGCUUUGUGUUUUAAUUUAUUCCCCAAGAGAAUGAAGGAUAUUCUAACAUAAUAUUCCUCUACUAUAUUCUUAGGACUGAUAAUAUGUAAAACUAGAACUUUCAAAUUAUCAUGGGCUCCUUUAAACUAGGUUUAUAAAAUUAAAUAGCCCAUUUUUCUAAUACUUUUUAUACCACUCAGUAAAUAAUAUAUAGCUAUAAGAUUUUCCUGCUUUAAACUUAAUCUACCAUUUUUAUUACUGUGUCAGUUAUAGACCUGAAUAUAUAAAUAUGCUUAUUUUAGUUUAAAAUAACAAUUAUUUGGUUGCAUUCAUGCUAGAAGAAUAUUGAAAAAAUGUGGAGACAAUUGCCAGAUGUUUACUGCUAAUUGCAAUUUUUGUUAAAGCAAUGUUAUUUUAUUUAAUGUCUUAGGAAGUCCUAAGCAAUGCUCACCGCUGAAUGAUGCGUUGCAAUAUCUACAAGUUCCCCCCCACGCGCCACCCCUUCUAACUGUAAGAAUAGCAGCUUUCUAACAUUACUACUUUGGAGAAAAAAAAAUGCCUCUUAAAACUAUGUUGUAUUUAUAAAAUGGUUCUUUAUAAAAUCUUUUCAGAGAAAUAGCUUUGAAAAAUUAAAUGAACUGGAUUUUGAUUAUUUCAUGGGUCUCUUUUUGUGUACAAGAUAUGCAAAACUGUUCCUGUGAGAACUCAGGAUCAGGAUGACAAAGGGCCUUCAAAAGAGUAAAUAGCAUUAAAGUUGAUGACUUGGAGUCAGGGAAUCCUGAACUGGAAACCCAACUCUUCUUACUCUCUGUGCACCUCUGAGAAUUCUUAACCUCACCUACACAAUUAUCACUGACAAAAUGGAGCGGAUAAUAGAAGCCUCAUUACAGGGAUAUUGUGACAGUUCAAUGAUGUAAUUAAUGGAAGGACUUAGCCUAAAAGCUCACAAACAGUGACACAAGAAAAGAACUGGGCAGCAGUGCUAGGAACCACAUCCUUUUCUUCUAAGCCUAUGGCUCGUUCCCACAUUACAGUACCUGGCUUUUAUCUUUAGGAAUUCCAGUUUCACUUUUCUCAGCUGAUGUAGGCUGCUCAUUAGUAUUUCUGGAAAUAAUAGUUUCAAUGGAGGCAAUUCCCUGAGAAACAAAAUGAAAGAAAGCAAACAAAUCAACAAUCGCAAUAUAUAUAACAAAUCUAUGGAAAAAAAUAAAGCUGUAACAAAUAGUCUGCUUUGUUUUUCAGGAAAUUUGCACCAAAAUGAUUUUUUUUCCCUGUUGCCCAGGCUG